GUGGGGAAUAUUGGGCAAUGGACGAAAGCCUGACCCAGCAACGCCGCGUGAAGGAAGAAGGUUUUCGGAUCGUAAACUUCUAUCCUUGGUGAAGAUAAUGACGGUAGCCAAGAAGGAAGCCCCGGCUAACUACGUGCCAGCAGCCGCGGUAAUACGUAGGGGGCAAGCGUUGUCCGGAAUGAUUGGGCGUAAAGGGCGCGUAGGCGGCCCGGUAAGUCUGAAGUGAAAGUCCUGCUUUUAAGGUGGGAAUUGCUUUGGAUACUGUCGGGCUUGAGUGCAGGAGAGGUAAGCGGAAUUCCCGGUGUAGCGGUGAAAUGCGUAGAGAUCGGGAGGAACACCAGUGGCGAAGGCGGCUUACUGGACUGUAACUGACGCUGAGGCGCGAAAGUGUGGGGAGCAAACAGGAUUAGAAACCCUGGUAGUCC
rnacentral:rRNA from 1 species